rnacentral:rRNA from 1 species
UAUUGCGCAAUGGGCGAAAGCCUGACGCAGCGACACCGCGUGAAGGAUGAAGGUCUUAGGAUCGUAAACUUCUGUUAAGUGCCCAGAAAGAGUCGCUUCUAAUAUAGGCGAAAGAUGACGUUAUCACUAAAGAAAGCACCGGCUAAUCUCGUGCCAACAGCCGCGGUAAUACGAGAGGUGCAAGCGUUAUUCGGAAUUAUUGGGCGUAAAGGGUACGUAGACGGUUUUUUAAGUCUCUUGUUUAAUUUUCCGGCCUAACUGGGGGUCAGCGAGGGAUACUGAUAAACUUGAGGAUGGAAGAGGGAAGUGGAAUUCUCGGAGUAGCGGUUAAAUGCGUAGAUCUCGAGAGGAACACCGAGGCGAAAGCAGCUUCCUGUCCAUUCUACGUCAAGCACGAAA